GACGAACGCUGGCGGCGUGCUUAACACAUGCAAGUCGAGCGGUAAGGCCCUUUCGGGGGUACACGAGCGGCGAACGGGUGAGUAACACGUGGGUGACCUGCCCUCAGCUCUGGGAUAAGCCUGGGAAACCGGGUCUAAUACUGGAUAUGACUCCAUGACGCAUGUUGUGGGGUGGAAAGCCUUGUGCGGCUGAGGAUGGGCCCGCGGCCUAUCAGCUUGUUGGUGGGGUGANGGCCUACCAAGGCGACGACGGGUAGCCGGCCUGAGAGGGCGACCGGCCACACUGGGGCUGAGACACGGCCCAGACUCCUACGGGAGGCAGCAGUGGGGAAUCUUGCGCAAUGGGCGAAAGCCUGACGCAGCGACGCCGCGUGAGGGAUGACGGCCUGG
rnacentral:rRNA from 1 species